GUCGACGGUAACAUUUCUAGCUUGCUAGAAGAUGACGAGUGGCGGACGGGUGAGUAAUGCUUGGGAACUUGCCUUUGCGAGGGGGAUAACAGUUGGAAACGACUGCUAAUACCGCAUAAUGUCUUCGGACCAAACGGGGCUUCGGCUCCGGCGCAAAGAGAGGCCCAAGUGAGAUUAGCUAGUUGGUAAGGUAACGGCUUACCAAGGCGACGAUCUCUAGCUGUUCUGAGAGGAAGAUCAGCCACACUGGGACUGAGACACGGCCCAGACUCCUACGGGAGGCAGCAGUGGGGAAUAUUGCACAAUGGGGGAAACCCUGAUGCAGCCAUGCCGCGUGUGUGAAGAAGGCCUUCGGGUUGUAAAGCACUUUCAGUUGUGAGGAAAAGUUAGUAGUUAAUACCUGCUAGCCGUGACGUUAACAACAGAAGAAGCACCGGCUAACUCCGUGCCAGCAGCCGCGGUAAUACGGAGGGUGCGAGCGUUAAUCGGAAUUACUGGGCGUAAAGCGCACGCAGGCGGUUUGUUAAGCUAGAUGUGAAAGCCCCGGGCUCAACCUGGGAUGGUCAUUUAGAACUGGCAGACUAGAGUCUUGGAGAGGGGAGUGGAAUUCCAGGUGUAGCGGUGAAAUGCGUAGAUAUCUGGAGGAACAUCAGUGGCGAAGGCGACUCCCUGGCCAAAGACUGACGCUCAUGUGCGAAAGUGUGGGUAGCGAACAGGAUUAGAUACCCUGGUAGUCCACACCGUAAACGCUGUCUACUAGCUGUGUGUGCCUUUAAAGGCGUGCGUAGCGAAGCUAACGCGCUAAGU
rnacentral:rRNA from 1 species